ACCAUCCUAUUCUUGGGUUGCACUAAUGUUCAAGGAAUGUGUAGUGAGGGCAGAACUGCUAAUGCUUGCAGAACAUGCUUGUGUCAAACAGAGCUUUGCUUUACUUUGGUGCGAUUUGGGGGGAC